rnacentral:rRNA from 1 species
AUUGAACGCUGGCGGCAGGCUUAACACAUGCAAGUCGAGCGGGGUGAUGGUGCUUGCACUAUCACUUAGCGGCGGACGGGUGAGUAAUGCUUAGGAAUCUGCCUAUUAGUGGGGGACAACAUCUCGAAAGGGAUGCUAAUACCGCAUACGUCCUACGGGAGAAAGCAGGGGAUCACUUGUGACCUUGCGCUAAUAGAUGAGCCUAAGUCGGAUUAGCUAGUUGGUGGGGUAAAGGCCUACCAAGGCGACGAUCUGUAGCGGGUCUGAGAGGAUGAUCCGCCACACUGGGACUGAGACACGGCCCAGACGCCUACGGGAGGCAGCAGUGGGGAAUAUUGGACAAUGGGGGGAACCCUGAUCUAGCCAUGGCGCGUGUGUGAAGAAGGCCUUAUGGUUGUAAAGCACUUUAAGCGAGGAGGAGGCUCUUUUGGUUAAUACCCAAGAUGAGUGGACGUUACUCGCAGAAUAAGCACCGGCUAACUCUGUGCCAGCCGCCGCAGUAA